UACGGAGGGUGCAAGCGUUAAUCGGAAUUACUGGGCGUAAAGCGCGCGUAGGCGGUUAGGUAAGUCAGAUGUGAAAUCCCCGGGCUUAACCUGGGAACUGCAUUUGAUACUGCUUGACUAGAGUAUGGUAGAGGGGGGUGGAAUUCCCGGAGUAGCGGUGAAAUGCGUAGAUAUCGGGAGGAACACCAGUGGCGAAGGCGGCCCCCUGGACCAAUACUGACGCUGAGGUGCGAAAGCGUGGGGAGCAAACAGG
rnacentral:rRNA from 1 species